AAGGGUUUGGCUGUUCGCCAAUUAAAGCGGUACGUGAGCUGGGUUUAGAACGUCGUGAGACAGUUCGGUCCCUAUCUGAUACGGGCGCAGGAUACUUGAGGGGAUCUGACCUUAGUACGAGAGGACCAGGUUGGACCGACCGCCAGUGCACCUGUUGUCGCGCCAGCGGCACCGCAGGGUAGCUGCGUCGGGAAGGGAUAAGCGCUGAAAGCAUAUAAGCGCCAAGCCCACCCCAAGACGAGGUAUCCCGUUGCGUAAGCAACCUGAAGGCUCCUGGAAGAACACCAGGUUGAUAGGUCACAGAUGUAAGCACAGUAAUGUGUUGAGUCGAGUGAUACUAAUAAGCCGUGCGGCUUGAUCGA
rnacentral:rRNA from 1 species